rnacentral:rRNA from 1 species
UACGGAGGGUGCGAGCGUUAAUCGGAAUUACUGGGCGUAAAGCGCAUGCAGGUGGUUUGUUAAGUCAGAUGUGAAAGACCCGGGGCGUCAACCUCGGAAUAGCAUUUGUAAACUAGGCAGACUAGAGUACUGUAGAGGGGGGUAGGAAUUUCAGGUGUAGCGGUGAAAUGCGUAGAGAUCUGAAGGAAUACCGGUGGCGAAGGCGGCCCCCUCGGACAGAUACUGACACUCAGAUGCGAAAGCGUGGGGAGCAAACAGGAUUAGAUACCCUGGUAG